ACUCCUACGGGAGGCAGCAGUGGGGAAUAUUGGACAAUGGGGGCAACCCUGAUCCAGCCAUGCCGCGUGGGUGAGAAGGCCUUCGGGUUGUAAAGCCCUGUCGUAGGGGAAGAAUACUGACGGUACCCUACAAGAAAGCACCGGCUAACUCCGUGCCAGCAGCCGCGGUAAUAC
rnacentral:rRNA from 1 species